rnacentral:rRNA from 1 species
AUUAAACGCUGGCGGCAUGCCUUACACAUGCAAGUCGAACGGCAGCACGGGGGCAACCCUGGUGGCGAGUGGCGAACGGGUGAGUAACGCAUCGGAACGUGCCCUGGAGUGGGGGAUAACGUAGCGAAAGUUACGCUAAUACCGCAUAUUCUGUGAGCAGGAAAGCAGGGGAUCGCAAGACCUUGCGCUCUGGGAGCGGCCGAUGUCGGAUUAGCUAGUUGGUGGGGUAAAGGCCUACCAAGGCGACGAUCCGUAGCGGGUCUGAGAGGAUGAUCCGCCACACUGGGACUGAGACACGGCCCAGACUCCUACGGGAGGCAGCAGUGGGGAAUUUUGGACAAUGGGCGCAAGCCUGAUCCAGCCAUGCCGCGUGAGUGAAGAA